rnacentral:rRNA from 1 species
GAUGAACGCUGGCGGCGUGCCUAAUACAUGCAAGUCGAGCGAAUGGAUUAAGAGCUUGCUCUUAUGAAGUUAGCGGCGGACGGGUGAGUAACACGUGGGUAACCUGCCCAUAAGACUGGGAUAACUCCGGGAAACCGGGGCUAAUACCGGAUAACAUUUUGAACCGCAUGGUUCGAAAUUGAAAGGCGGCUUCGGCUGUCACUUAUGGAUGGACCCGCGUCGCAUUAGCUAGUUGGUGAGGUAACGGCUCACCAAGGCAACGAUGCGUAGCCGACCUGAGAGGGUGGCCGGCCACCAUGGGACUGAGACACGGCACAGACUCCUACGGGGGGCAGCAGUAGGGAAUCUUCCGCAAUGGACGAAAGUCUGACGGAGCAACGCCGCGUGAGGGAUGAAGGCUUUCGGGUCGUAAAACUCUGUUGUUAGGGAAGAACAAGUGCUAGUUGAAUAAGCUGGCACCUUGACGGUACCUAACCAGAAAGCCACGGCUAACUACGUGCCAGCCGCCGCAGUAA